rnacentral:rRNA from 1 species
GACAUAGGUCGCAAACGUUAUCCGGAAUCACUGGGUUUAAAGGGUGCGUAGGUGGCGCGUUAAGUCCGUUGUGAAAUCCCUGGGCUCAACCCAGGAAAUGCUUCGGAUACUGGCGUGCUUGAGGCUAGUAGGGGUCACUGGAACUGACGGUGGAGCGGUGAAAUGCGUAGAUAUCGUCAGGAACGCCAAUGGUGAAGACAGGUGACUGGGCUAGAUCUGACACUGAGGCACGAAAGCGUGGGGAGCGAACAGG